UUUUUUUUUGAAUAUCAAGAGAUUCUGGGCCGAAGCUCUUAAUCCUCCAGGCCCGAAACAAGAGCAUGUAAACUCCAGAAACUAUCAGAUUUAAUUAUACGCAAUUUAUGCGAUUGUGAUGAACGAACCCAUGAACAACUCCACGAUGUGCAACUCUCUCCGUAACAUUGUCAUCUCUUACCUAACGAUUCUUACUUAUAUAUGUUUUACCUACGAUGGACAAUCUUAUCUCUAUAGGGAAGACUAAAACGAACGGUUCUGCUUGCAGCAUUCUGGGACUUUUGAUUAGUAUGCCAAACUAGUUUAUU
rnacentral:sRNA from 1 species